AACGUAGGAGGCGAGCGUUAUCCGGAUUUACUGGGCGUAAAGGGCAAGUAGGUGGCAGGAUGCGUGGGGUUUGAAAUCACCUGGCUUAACUGGGUGGGAGGGCCCCAAACGGUCCGGCUUGAGGUAGGGAGAGGGAUGCGGAAUUCCUGGUGUAGUGGUGGAAUGCGUAGAGAUCAGGAGGAACACCCGUGGCGAAAGCGGCAUCCUGGCCCUGACCUGACACUGAGGUGCGAAAGCGUGGGGAGCAAACAGG
rnacentral:rRNA from 1 species